rnacentral:rRNA from 1 species
GUAGGUGGCAAGCGUUGUCCGGAAUUAUUGGGCGUAAAGCGCGCGCAGGCGGUUCUUUAAGUCUGAUGUGAAAGCCCACGGCUCAACCGUGCAGGGUCAUUGGAAACUGGAGAACUUGAGUACAGAAGAGGAAAGCGGAAUUCCACGUGUAGCGGUGAAAUGCGUAGAGAUGUGGAGGAACACCAGUGGCGAAGGCGGCUUUCUGGUCUGUAACUGACGCUGAGGCGCGAAAGCGUGGGGGAGCAAACAGGAUUAGAUACCCUGGUAGUCCACGCCGUAAACGAUGAGUGCUAAGUGUUAGGGGGUUUCCGCCCCUUAGUGCUGCAGCUAACGCAUUAAGCACUCCGCCUGGGAGUACGGCCGCAAGGCUG